GGUGGCCUUCGGUUGUUUUUUUACUCUUUGGGCGAGUUGUUGUCUCUUUGACACAUUCCCCAUUUCAGUCUCUUUUUUACAUUGACUUAUACAUCAACAAGAAAAGCUUAGCAAAUGAGGUUUGUGUAGACCAUCGCACUUCAGCGUUACCACCAUCGCACUUCGGCGUAGCUAUCAACAAGAUAGCGUCACAAUGACACCAUCGCACUUCGGCGUGAUCAAAAACGCACUUCAGCGUCAAACCAUCGAAUCUCAGCGUGACCAUCGCGGUUCGGAGUACCAUCGCGGUUCAG
rnacentral:lncRNA from 1 species